rnacentral:tRNA from 1 species
GCCCUAUUGGCGCAAUGGAUAGCGCGUGUGACUUCUAAUCACAAGGUUGCCGGUUCGAGUCCGGCAUAGGGUUCUA